rnacentral:rRNA from 1 species
UACGUAGGUAGCGAGCGUUGUUCGGAGUUACUGGGCGUAAAGGGUGUGUAGGCGGUUGUUUAAGUUUGGUGUGAAAUCUCCCGGCUCAACUGGGAGGGUGCGCCGAAUACUGAAUGACUCGAGUGUGGGAGAGGUGAGUGGAAUUCCUGGUGUAGCGGUGAAAUGCGUAGAUAUCAGGAGGAACACCGGUGGUGUAGACGGCUCACUGGACCAUAACUGACGCUGAGACACGAAAGCGUGGGUAGCAAACAGG